rnacentral:rRNA from 1 species
AGAUUGAACGCUGGCGGCAUGCCUAACACAUGCAAGUCGAACGGGAGUAGCAAUACUCUAGUGGCGGACGGGUGAGGAAUACGUAGGAAUUUGCCCUUAAGUGGGGGAUAACCCGGGGAAACCCGGAUUAAUACCGCAUGACCUCGAAAGAGCAAAGUGGGGGAUCGCAAGACCUCACGCUUUUGGAGAAGCCUACGUCGGAUUAGCUAGUUGGUGAGGUAAUGGCUCACCAAGGCGACGAUCCGUAACUGGUCUGAGAGGAUGAUCAGUCACACCGGAACUGAGACACGGUCCGGACUCCGUACGGGACGGCAGCGAGGUCGGGGAAUAGUGGACAAGUGGGCGCAAGCCUGAUCCAGCAAUGGCCGUCUGUGUAGAAGA